rnacentral:rRNA from 1 species
UGGGGAAUCUUGGACAAUGGGGGCAACCCUGAUCCAGCCAUGCCGCGUGAGUGAUGAAGGCCUUAGGGUCGUAAAGCUCUUUCGCCUGUGAAGAUAAUGACGGUAGCAGGUAAAGAAACCCCGGCUAACUCCGUGCCAGCAGCCGCGGUAAUACGGAGGGGGUUAGCGUUGUUCGGAAUUACUGGGCGUAAAGCGCACGUAGGCGGACCAGAAAGUUGGGGGUGAAAUCCCGGGGGCUCAACCCCGGAACUGCCUCCAAAACUAUUGGUCUAGAGUUCGAGAGAGGUGAGUGGAAUUCCAAGUGUAGAGGUGAAAUUCGUAGAUAUCAGGAGGAACACCGGUGGCGAAGGCGGGUCUCUGGGCCGGAACUGACGCUGAGGAGCGAAAGUGUGGGGAGCAAACAGGAUUAGAUACCCUGGUAGUCCACACCGUAAACGAUGAAUGCCAGUCGUCGGGUAGCAUGCUAUUCGGUGACACACCUAACGGAUUAAGCAUUCCGCCUGGGGAGUACGGUCGCAGAUUAAAA